ensembl:rRNA 5S_rRNA 5S ribosomal RNA
GUCUAUAGCCGUGCCACCUUGAACGUGUGCCAUCACGUCUGAUCUCGGAAGAUAAGCAGGGUCAAGCCUGGUUAGCACUUGAAUGGGAGACCGUCUGGGCAUACCGGGUGCUGUAGGCU